AUUGAACGCUGGCGGCAUGCCUUACACAUGCAAGUCGAACGGUAACAGGUCUUCGGAUGCUGACGAGUGGCGAACGGGUGAGUAAUACAUCGGAACGUGCCUAGUAGUGGGGGAUAACUACUCGAAAGGGUGGCUAAUACCGCAUGAGAUCUACGGAUGAAAGCAGGGGAUCGCAAGCCCUUGUGCUACUAGAGCGGCCGAUGGCAGAUUAGGUAGUUGGUGGGAUAAAAGCUUACCAAGCCGACGAUCUGUAGCUGGUCUGAGAGGACGAUCAGCCACACUGGGACUGAGACACGGCCCAGACUCCUACGGGAGGCAGCAGUGGGGAAUUUUGGACAAUGGGCGCAAGCCUGAUCCAGCAAUGCCGCGUGCAGGAUGAAGGCCUUCGGGUUGUAAACUGCUUUUGUACGGAACGAAAAGCCCUGGGUUAAUACCCUGGGGUCAUGACGGUACCGUAAGAAUAAGCACCGGCUAACUACGUGCCAGCAGCCGCGGUAA
rnacentral:rRNA from 1 species